rnacentral:miRNA from 1 species
CACCCAGGGAUCUUGUUAAAAGGCAGAUUCUGAUCCAGUGGGCCUGAGGUUGCUGGGUU